rnacentral:rRNA from 1 species
UACGGAGGGGGCAAGCGUUAUUCGGAAUUAUUGGGCGUAAAGGGCGCGUAGGCGGCUAGAUGUGUCAAAGGUGAAAUCCCUCGGCUCAACUGAGGAACUGCCUUUGAAACUGUCUGGCUUGAGGCCGGGAGAGGGUAGCGGAAUUCCCAGUGUAGCGGUGAAAUGCGUAGAUAUCAGGAGGAACACCGGUGGUGCAGACGGCUCUCUGGACCGUAACUGACGCUGAGACACGAAAGCGUGGGUAGCAAACAGG